CCUACGGGGGGCAGCAGUAAGGAAUCUUCCACAAUGGGCGAAAGCCUGAUGGAGCAACGCCGCGUGGGUGAAGAAGGUUUUCGGAUUGUAAACCUCUGUCCUCUGUGAAGAUAAUGACGGUAGCAGAGGAGGAAGCUCCGGCUAACUACGUGCCAGCAGCCGCGGUAAUACGUAGGGAGCAAGCGUUGUCCGGAUUUACUGGGUGUAAAGGGUGCGUAGGCGGCUUUGCAAGUCAGAAGUGAAAUCCAUGGGCUUAACCCAUGAACUGCUUUUGAAACUGCAGAGCUUGAGUGGAGUAGAGGUAG
rnacentral:rRNA from 1 species